AAAAACAACAACAUUAUGUUCACGCAAUCACUGUUACAUGAAUCAGUACGAAGGAAGAAAGGACAAUAAUGCAGUUCCUAAUAAGAAUAUAAAACAAGCAACAUAUAUAAUUACAUGUACUUGAGUAGAGUAGUACUGCAUAUAUAUAUCCUUCCUUGGUAAUCUUUAUUUCAUCUUUUGUACACAUAAACAUAAUCUUAAACGCAAUUAAUUAA
rnacentral:misc_RNA from 1 species